GAGUUUGAUCGUGGCUCAGGAUGAACGCUGGCGGCGUGCCUAACACAUGUAAGUCGAACGGAGUUUAUGAGGAAGAAGCUUCGGCGGAAUUCUUAUAAACUUAGUGGCGGACGGGUGAGUAACACGUGGAGAACCUGCCUCUUACCGGGGGGACAGCAGUUGGAAACGACUGAUAAUACCGCAUAAGCGCACGAGACCGCAUGGUCCUGUGUGAAAAGAUUUAUCGGUAAGAGAUGGCCCCGCGUCUGAUUAGCCAGUUGGCGGGGUAACGGCCCACCAAAGCGACGAUCAGUAGCCGGCCUGAGAGGGUGAACGGCCACAUUGGGACUGAGACACGGCCCAGACUCCUACGGGAGGCAGCAGUGGGGGAUAUUGCACAAUGGAGGAAACUCUGAUGCAGCGACGCCGCGUGAGUGAAGAAGUAUUUCGGUAUGUAAAGCUCUAUCAGCAGGGAGAAGACUCGAAAGAGGGAUGACGGUACCUGAGUAAGAAGCCCGGCUAACUACGUGCCAGCAG
rnacentral:rRNA from 1 species